rnacentral:lncRNA from 12 species
AUUACCUGUCGCUGGGUUUCUACACUGAUGCAUUUUUCCUGGCUGGCUUUCUUACAGCAGCUGUUUGUUUUCCCUAAAGGAAGUUCUGUAUAACUGAACCUGGUGUGGUUAAA